rnacentral:pre_miRNA from 9 species
CAGUGAGUCACCUGGGGAGCUUGUUAAAAUGCAGAUUCUGAGAUGGGGCCUGAGAGUCUGCAUUUCUCACAAGCUCCCAGGUGCUAACUU